rnacentral:tRNA from 1 species
GUAGAGAUAAACUAAUGAAAGUUAUCUGGUUCAUGCCCAGAAUAUAAGGGUUUCCCUUUUUUACA